AUUGAACGCUGGCGGCAGGCCUAACACCUGCAAGUCGAGCGAGAGGCGGACGGGUGAGUAAUGUAUGGGGAACUGCCCGAUGGAGGGGGAUAAAUACUGGAAACGGUGGCUAAUACCGCAUACUAUCGGAUGAACCCAGAUGGGAUUAGCUAGUAGGUGGGGUACCGGCUCACCUAGGCGACGAUCCCUAGCUGGUCUGAGAGGAUGAACACCCACACUGGGACUGAGACACGGCCCAGACUCCUACGGUAGGCAGCAGUGGGGAAUAUUGCACAAUGGGCGCAAGCCUGAUGCAGCCAUGCCGCGUGUAUGAAGAAGGCCUUAGGGUUGUAAAGUACUUUCAGCGGGGAGGCGUUACCCGCAGAAGAAGCACCGGCUAACUCCGUGCCAGCAGCCGCGGUAAUAC
rnacentral:rRNA from 1 species